rnacentral:misc_RNA from 1 species
CUUCACUGCCUCAGAUGGAUAGUAUUUCAUAGAAAGAGAUCUGGUACUCUCUGGUCCCCAAACAGCAUAAGGUAUGUUAGUUUCAUGCCAAACAAGUGCAGCUUCAUUGUUGAAGUCAUUAAACUUUUCCUGCUCAGAAAGAUAAAACCACAAAUCCAGAGAAUCUCCCUUUUGGAAGAGAUUGGAGAUAAGAAGAGAAGGAUCGGAGGGUCUCUUAGGAGCGAAGAAUUUGGAAGCGAAAUACCAAAAGACAGCAAUCCUAAUGAUUCCGGUAAUAGUCUGCCCUAUUCCCCCAUUCUGCUGCUGCUGCUGCUGUCUCUGCGGCCCUGCUGCUACCGGCGGUGCCAUGUCCUCUCCCUCUCAGACGAACUAGGGUGGCUGCUGCUUCUGAGAGAGAGAAAAAGAUGUAUUUGUUGAUGUAUAUGUAUAGCUGCUUCUGUUGUAAUCGAAGUGGGAAAGGAAAGAGAUUUUUUUUUUUUACUUUUUUAUUUAAUAGAAAAUAUCUCUUUAGGUUUGAGCAGGAGCCCGGAGGCCAAAGCUGGAAGAGAAGCGAUGAUGUGUUGCUCAGCGUAGCAAAAUAGAUG